CCCUUAGAUGUUCUGGGCCGCACGCGCGCUACACUGAUGCAUUCAACGAGUUUCUUCCUGGUCCGAGUGGAAUGGGUAACCUUUUGAAAGUGCAUCGUGAUAGGGAUAGACUAUUGCAAUUAUUGGUCUUCAACGAGGAAUUCCUAGUAGACGUAGUUCAUCAGACUGCAUCGAUUACGUCCCUGCCCUUUGUACACACCGCCCGUCGCUCCUACCGAUUGAAUGCUCAGGUGAGCCAUUCGGACUUUCAUCAUGCUGGUUUCCAGUUUUGAUGAAGGAAAGUCUUGCGAACCUUAUCAUUUAGAGGAAGGAGAAGUCGUAACA
rnacentral:rRNA from 1 species